CAGCCCUAAUUUGUGAAGAUUGAAGACCCAGCCGAACGCCCCUUCCACUACAACGGCACAGCACACCACCGCCACCGCUGACUGCACCGCGCAUCUCCAGCACAGCCACGACCUCGUACUUCCAGUACCGCCGCGACCUCGCGCCUCCAGCUCACCGCAACCGCACACAACGCACCGCCGUCGUCAUCUCCUACUCCAGACUCCCAGUCGCCGGUCGCCUUCAGUCAUCGUCCAUCUUCAGCCUUCGGUCGUCUCCACUUGCCGACCAGGUUGAUGGCAAAAAGAAAAAGUUUAUGGACAGAAUCUUUGCUAUUUGGCAAAGUUAUUUCUUGACCACAAGACGCUUUACUAUGAUGUUGACCUGUUCCUGUUUUAUGUUCUUUGUGAAUGUGAUGAUCGAGGGUGCCAUAUAGUUGGCUAUUUUUCUAAGGUGAACGUGACUAAUUCUUAUCACGCUACCCUCCCUUUUUAUCAUACUACUAGACAAAACCAGAUUGAGUGUUGAAAAUCUGGGUCAUUUAAAUUAUGACCUCAACAUCUCUCGACUGCACGACAAUGUUACUUUUACAAAUGUACAAGAAGAUAUUUAGAAUUUGAAGGCUACUAUUAUAUUGUUGUAUACAUUUUGAAUUGAUUAUUAGUACUUAGUAAAAUAUGAAUUGAUAAUGUAUUAUUACUUGAGCGUAAUGUUGAUUGAUAAUAUUUUAGAAUUAUGUUAUAUUUUAGAAUUAA